rnacentral:rRNA from 1 species
GUGGGGAAUCUUAGACAAUGGGGGAAACCCUGAUCUAGCCAUGCCGCGUGAGCGAUGAAGGCCUUAGGGUUGUAAAGCUCUUUCAGCUGGGAAGAUAAUGACGGUACCAGCAGAAGAAGCCCCGGCUAACUCCGUGCCAGCAGCCGCGGUAAUACGGAGGGGGCUAGCGUUGUUCGGAAUUACUGGGCGUAAAGCGCGCGUAGGCGGACCAGAAAGUUGGAGGUGAAAUCCCAGGGCUCAACCUUGGAACUGCCUUCAAAACUCCUGGUCUGGAGUUAGAGAGAGGUGAGUGGAAUUCCGAGUGUAGAGGUGAAAUUCGUAGAUAUUCGGAGGAACACCAGUGGCGAAGGCGGCUCACUGGCUCGAUACUGACGCUGAGGUGCGAAAGCGUGGGGAUCGAACAGGAUUAGAAACCCGGGUAGUCC